GACGGAGGAGGCAAGCAUUGUUCGGAAUUAUUGGGCGUAAAGAACACGUAGGCGGUUAUUCAAGUCGAUUGUGAAAACCUUAGGCUUAACUUAAGGAUUGCAUUCGAUACUGGAUAACUGGAGUACAGUAGAGGAAAGUGGAAUUCCUGGUGUAGCGGUGAAAUGCGCAGAUAUCAGGAAGAACACCAGUGGCGAAAGCGGCUUUCUGGACUGUUACUGACGCUGAGGUGUGAAAGCCAGGGGAGCGAACAGGAUUAGAUACCCCGGUAGUCC
rnacentral:rRNA from 1 species